rnacentral:rRNA from 1 species
ACGUAGGGGGCAAGCGUUGUCCGGAUUUACUGGGUGUAAAGGGCGCGUAGGCGGAUUUUUAAGUCAGAGGUGAAAUCCUGCAGCUUAACUGCAGAACUGCCUUUGAUACUAUUAAUCUUGAGUAUGGAAGAGAGAGACGGAAUUCCAGGUGUAGUGGUGAAAUACGUAGAUAUCUGGAAGAACACCAGUUGCGAAGGCGGUCUCUUGGUCCAAAACUGACGCUGAGGCGCGAAAGCGUGGGUAGCAAACAG